GUUCGAUUAGACUAUUUCCAACCGGAGGCUUGGCCAUUUGCAAGCAGAGAUGCUAAACUGAGUAUUAAUCUUCAAACAAUUUGCUCUGCCGAAUGGGGACAGGAGCACGGAGGUUGGAGAGCCGAGCAGAUCGUAGCAGGUGGCCACGCUUGGAGGGAAAGGGGAUUCAAGUCACGCUUGGGAUCUGGUCCCUCCUUCCCAGCCUCCUCUGCUAGCUCUGUGAAGGGCAACCGUAAAUGCACCACGAACCUCGUCUCUGCAAAAGGGUUUGGAAAUGAAAACAGCAGGCAAGGCUUUGAUUUCCCUCCCGGCCUUUGACAACACGCAUUUGCAAAACAGCAUCGUGCUACAAGGCUCUGGUGUUGUGCAGAGCAUGGGUGCUGCAUCUGAGCCUCCAGGCUCAGUGCUUUCGGGCUUUUAGUCAUCAAUAAAC
ensembl:lncRNA